AACUUGAAAAAAAUAAAUGGAGCCUAACGAGAUUGAGAAGGUUCCGGAGACAUAGCCAGUGGCCGGGUCUUCUGAAGACCACGAGGAAGGAAAUGCCUGGCCGCAUCUCAAAGAACACUUCCGCUUCAAGCAGAGAGGAUGAGACAGUGUGACUAUGGAAUGGAAAGAUGGUGGAGGUGGCUGCCUACAAAAACUCUGCUUCGAAUUUGAGGAAACAUGUAAUGAGGAAACAUCCAUUAAAGUUGACAAACUACAAUAUGUUCACCUCUGCAACCACAAACAAACAAACCAAGGAGCUAUCAAACACCUCUUCAACUUGCAAGCAAGCAAAGAUAUCUGAAACGUAUGGCAGUGGGAGGAGCUUUUUUGUUUUUGUUUUGGUGAACAGAGCCAGGCAGUCGAGUCAGCAGACCGAGACUCAGAUGCUGAAGAGCCAGCAGAGCAGGUUGAAUACCAAGACACCUAUUCCAUCCUGGAAAAUGACAAGUGUCCUAGAAUAAUCAACUCCCUCAGCAUCAACGGAGUGCAUGUCACCUGCUGAACCUCAUUGCAACAGAUUCUGCGUUGGCAGAAACACAUAGUGAUAGCUAGAAAAGGUUGUCCAGAUCAUCUUUUGCCAAAUGCCAUGUGGAGUAAAACGGGACGGUCAACCUUAACUGCUGAAGUUGUUGAGAAUGAGCGCAAACUGCAGUUGGAUCCGUCCAAAUCAAAACCAGUUGGAACUCAACUUACCUGACUGUGGAGAGGAUCACACACAUCAUUCAAGAGAAGGGGGAGGAUGCCAUAAGAAAGGUGUGACAAGAAUUAAAAGUGAAAAUGCUGAGCCUGGCAGAAAUGUCCUUCUUGAAUGAGUACUGCAAAGUGAUGAAGCCUUUGGUCUCAGCUUUGAACCUUCUACAGUCUGAGACCAACAUGCAUAUGGGGUGGCUGCUACCAGUGAUCUUCUUACUAAAAAACAAAACUUCAAAAGGUCGGGAAGCAUCUUGCCAAAUGUGCCUACCACUUAUCAGAGCCAGUCAGAAUGGCAAAUUCAGAGAGAAGUCAUGCGAGUUAAGUGUUCGAUAGGUUGUUCCACAAAUAAUAUGGCUUUUGAACAUUUGUAUAUGUGAAGUUGAAGAUUUUAUAUUAAAAUCAGCUGUGGUGGAUCUUA